GAUGAAGAACGUAGCGAAAUGCGAUAAGUAAUGUGAAUUGCAGAAUUCAGUGAAUCAUCGAAUCUUUGAACGCACAUUGCGCCCGCCAGUAUUCUGGCGGGCAUGCCUGUUCGAGCGUCAUUACAACCCUCAGGCCCCCGGGCCUGGCGUUGGGGAUCGGCGGAGCCCCCCGUGGGCACACGCCGUCCCCCAAAUGCAGUGGCGGUCCCGCCGCAGCUUCCAUCGCGUAGUAGCUAACUCCUCGCGACUGGAGAGCGGCGCGGCCACGCCGUAAAACACCCAACUCUUCUGAAGUUGACCUCGAAUCAGGUAGGAAUACCCGCUGAACUUAAGCAUAUCAAUAAGCGGAGGA
rnacentral:misc_RNA from 1 species